CGGGAGCACACAACGGGUGGAGCUUGCGGUUUUAAUUGGAUUCAACGCCGGAAAUCUUACCGGGACCGACAGCAAUAUGAAGGCCAGGCUGAAGACUUUGCCGGAUUAGCUGAGAGGUGGUGCAUGGCCGUCGUCAGUUCGUACUGUGAAGCAUCCUGUUAAGUCAGGCAACGAGCGAGACCCACGCCCACAGUUGCCAGCGUACUCUCUGGAGUGACGGGUACACUGUGGGGACCGCCGCUGCUAAAGCGGAGGAAGGAAUGGGCAACGGUAGGUCAGUAUGCCCCGAAUAUCCCGGGCUACACGCGAGCUACAAUGGUUGGUACAAUGGGUAUCUACCCCGAAAGGGGACGGGAAUCUCCUAAAACCAAUCUUAGUUCGGAUUGAGGGCUGCAACUCGCCCUCAUGAAGCUGGAAUCCGUAGUAAUCGCGUUUCAACAGAACGCGGUGAAUACGUCCCUGCUCCUU
rnacentral:rRNA from 1 species